rnacentral:lncRNA from 1 species
GAGUGUGAAGACCUGAGGUAUCAGGGGUAGGGGUUGCUCUGCUUGUGUAAGUCCCAUAGUGUGAAGGCCAGAGAACCAAGAGAUGGUCAAGAAGAGAGAGUAAGUGUCCAAUGUCCCAGCUCAAGAAGAGAGACAAGACCAACCCCGCCUCUUCCUUCUCCUUCUCGACCUACUCAAAGUAAAGAUGAGGAUGAAGACCCUUAAGAUGAUCCACUCCCACUUAAUGAAUAGAGCAUCACGACCUGUGCAGACUCCCCAGCAUCAUAACAGGAAGGUCCCACGAUCACGAGCACAUUGCCUUCAGCAUCCAGCACUGAAUAUGGUGAAUUGCACUCUGAAGAGCUUCCUAAGCUUGUAAGAAAGUGAUUCUGAAAAGCUCAACAUUUUGGUAGAAUGGAGAGAUUUGACAUUGCUUCUGCUCCAAAAGCAAAAGACUUGGCUUAGGUGACUGCAGCAAGAGAUGUCCAGAGUCUCAACAUUGGGUGAUUGAAGAGCAGAAAGACUGGCAUGAAAUAUCUGUCAACAUAGCUCAACAAGGAAUCAGGAAGAGAGAGUCUUCAAGAUGGCUGACUAGAGGCAUCUGGUACUUGCCUCCUCCACAAAGAAGAACCAAAAUAGCAAGUAUAUUAUUACACUUCGAAUAGAUCAUCUAAGAAAGAACACUGGAAUUCAACCAAGAAGUGGCAAUAAAUACCUAAGGCAA